CGAACCGUACAAACGUUAUUCGGAAUCACUGGGCUUAAAGGGUGCGUAGGCGGCCAUGUAAGUGGGGUGUGAAAUCCCUCGGCUCAACCGAGGAACUGCGCUCCAUACUGCAUGGCUUGAGGGAGACAGGGGUAAGCGGAACUGAUGGUGGAGCGGUGAAAUGCGUUGAUAUCAUCAGGAACACCGGUGGCGAAAGCGGCUUACUGGGUCUCUUCUGACGCUGAGGUACGAAAGCUAGGGUAGCGAACGGGAUUAGAUACCCCGGUAGUCCUAGCUGUAAACGAUGAGCACUUAUCUGGGGAUCCUCCCAUAGGUUCCCGGAUGUAGCGAAAGUGUUAAGUGCUCCGCCUGGGGAGUAUGGUCGCAAGGCUG
rnacentral:rRNA from 1 species